UACGUUUGUCCUGAGCAUAAUACAUCCAAAGCAGGUUUCUUUUCACACGUAGCAGCUAAUGCUGUUCAUUUUGUUUUAAUUAUUUACUCCCUUUUUUCUGAUCGGGCUACAAAAUAUUAUUUAUGCCAGGGGGAGUCAAAUGGCGGCACCCAGAUAAUUUUUAUCUGGCCCUCCAACUGGUUUUUGAUGUUUAAAACCGCUCGCAAUCUGAUAUCAAAGUCCCCGCAAAGGUUUAGCGUUUUCAGCGUGAAUGUCAACCCGUUCUCACUCCUGACCGUUCUCACGCUGAAGAAGUCUCCUUCAGAACACAUCGCGAUAUUUGGCAUCAGUUCGCGUGUGCUGGAUGUUGCUGAAAAGACAAAAAGGGCCUUUCGGAAAUGGAUGAAGGAGACAGAAAGCUGCAAAGGCAAAUAAUUGCAAUGGAUUACUUGCAGAUUACUUAGUCCUUCUUUUUAGGAUCUCUACAACAUCAAACUCAACAGCUCUUUUAAGAGCCGACCCUCACAAGAGCUACUAGUGAGUCGCUGCAAACCUGCCGUGAUCAGCCCUUUCCAGAGAAGGAAGACCAGUCCUUAUAUCAAAACAAGCUCAUCGAAGUCCUUUGUUUAGGGUGAGGAAGGAACAUGACCAUCUCAUGCCCAAAGAAGACAGAAGUCCAUUGAUAGCAAGUGAAGUCACUAACAGAAGAUCCUAGAGGAAAAACGACUGAUGUGCAGCUACGGAGGAACACAAGAGGCAGAAAUAUGCAUGGCCAUGGCUUCUUCAUGAGUACGACCAGGACUGAAGAACGCCUGACAAUGGGAUGUUAAGACUUCUUCCUCUGGUUGAGAAAAAGCUACAGCACAUCAGUGAUCACAUCUUCUGGUCAUCAGUUGUACUGUAGAGUACAACUGAACAAACUGUUUAGAAGAAGAACAUGAACAUGAUAGAGACGUGUACA